UAGAUACCCUAUUAUUUUAAAUGUAAAUUUGUUAAAUUCUUGAGUAGUAAUAGUUAUAUUCUUGAAACUCAAAGAAUAUGGCGGUGUUUUAGUCCUUUCAGAGGAAUCUGUCCUGUUAUUGAUAAUACACAAUUAACUUUACUUAAUUUUGUAAUUUCAGCUUAUAUACCGCCGUCAUCAGUUUAUCUUAUAAAGGAUUAAAUUUUCUUAUAAUUUUAUUAAAUUAUAUGUCAGGUCAAGGUGUAGUUUAUAAUUAAGUGGGAGAUGGAUUACAAUAAAUUAUAUUUACAUGGAUUUUUGUUUGAAAAUUGAGAUGAAGGUGGAUUUGAUUGUAAUUUUAUUUAUUUAAUUAAUUUGAUCUAGGCUCUAAUAUGCGCACACAUCGCCCGUCGCUCUU
rnacentral:rRNA from 1 species